UUUGGGAAUUUUUCAAAAAAUUGACGGGGGCCCGCACAAGCGGUGGAGCAUGUGGUUUAAUUCGAAGCAACGCGAAGAACCUUACCAGGUCUUGACAUCCUCUGAAAACCCUAGAGAUAGGGCUUCUCCUUCGGGAGCAGAGUGACAGGUGGUGCAUGGUUGUCGUCAGCUCGUGUCGUGAGAUGUUGGGUUAAGUCCCGCAACGAGCGCAACCCUUGAUCUUAGUUGCCAUCAUUAAGUUGGGCACUCUAAGGUGACUGCCGGUGACAAACCGGAGGAAGGUGGGGAUGACGUCAAAUCAUCAUGCCCCUUAUGACCUGGGCUACACACGUGCUACAAUGGACGGUACAAAGAGCUGCAAGACCGCGAGGUGGAGCUAAUCUCAUAAAACCGUUCUCAGUUCGGAUUGUAGGCUGCAACUCGCCUACAUGAAGCUGGAAUCGCUAGUAAUCGCGGAUCAGCAGCCGC
rnacentral:rRNA from 1 species